GAUGAACGCUAGCGGGAGGCCUAACACAUGCAAGCCGAGCGGUAUUUGUUCUUCGGAACAGAGAGAGCGGCGCACGGGUGCGGAACACGUGUGCAACCUGCCUUUAUCUGGGGGAUAGCCUUUCGAAAGGAAGAUUAAUACCCCAUAAUAUAUUGAGUGGCAUCAUUUGAUAUUGAAAACUCCGGUGGAUAGAGAUGGGCACGCGCAAGAUUAGAUAGUUGGUGAGGUAACGGCUCACCAAGGCAAUGAUCUUUAGGGGGCCUGAGAGGGUGAUCCCCCACACUGGUACUGAGACACGGACCAGACUCCUACGGGAGGCAGCAGUGAGGAAUAUUGGACAAUGGGUUAGCGCCUGAUCCAGCCAUCCCGCGUGAAGGACGACGGCCCUAUGGGUUGUAAACUUCUUUUGUAUAGGGAUAAACCUACUCUCGUGAGAGUAGCUGAAGGUACUAUACGAAUAAGCACCGGCUAACUCCGUG
rnacentral:rRNA from 1 species